rnacentral:lncRNA from 1 species
ACCUUCCUUCCCGCCGAAGAGCCGCCUGCUCCCUCCGAGCCGGAACCUGCCGCCACCGCCGCCGUCGAGAGCGCCAGCAAGGAGAUCACACCGGAGGCUGCCGAGGAGAUCAAGAAGGAAGAGGCCGAGAAGGUGGAGGAGACCCCAGCUCCCCCUGCUCCCGCCGAAGAGGCGCCGGCACCUCCGGAGCCCGAACCGGCGAAACCGGACGAGCCUGCACCUGAACCUGCCAAGGCUUGAACACCACAGCUCUCCCCUCCAUAUCAUUCCAUGCAUGGACUUGUACAUCUGCCUUCGCCACCUGCUCUAUGUUUGCAUCAUUUGUUAUUCUUUCUUUGACCUCUUUGCUACAUCACGCCCUAUUGUCUCUCUCCUGUACGUACCUGUCACGAGGUUUCUUUCCUUUUGCAUCUGUGAAGAACAUGCAAACUGUGUAUGAUAAUACUACAUGAUCAAGUGCUGUCUGGUUCACUGUAUAUUUCAGGUGUAAAUGGGUUUAUAUUUCUCGUUCCUACUGCUGUCAUCAUUGAAGUUGUUGUUGCCGUGUCACGUCCCACAGAAAGAGGAUGUCAAGGAAACGCUCCGGAGAGGCUGUGUAUGUUCCCUGUGGGCCUUCUGCGUCCGAUCAGAGCUGUCCUCUUUUCCUUUGUUUGAAGCUUCCACGAUUGAGGGUGUAUAAAAACAAUAGCUAAGCGGACAACAUGAAGAAGUCAAGGCAUUGAUUAGGGGAAGAUACAUCGAGGAAAGGGACGUGAGAUUAAUCUCCUCUGAGCCAGCAGUGGAAUAAGAGUAAUCAAUCCUACACGGAAAAGGAAGACUAUUAUGUGUAAGCUUGUGCUGUGCUGAUAGAUACUCCAUGAGAGAAGGUGGCGUAUUCUCUCAACACUCGAAAAGUCUGUCUGAGAGGGUGUUGAUCUAUAGAAUUAAGAGAAAAAUUCUUUAAUAUUCUCAAUGCUAAUAGUAGCAGCACAUCAACAACAUCCAAGUCAAACAUUCAUCAUGACUUGCGAGGAUUGAGUGCAUGUAAUGUGUGGGGCCAUGGGUAAGAAUUGUUAUCAACGAGAAAAUAUUUUAUUUGAUUC